AGAAGAGGGAGAAAAAGAUUCUACAGCCCUGGCCACAGUACUUUGGUGACACUUUUCCUGGGGCUCCCUGGAGGACUUUUCCCAAGGCAGAUGGAGAAAACUUCGUGAAAUCCACUCCUUGCUAUUAAAGGAAAUGUUGUGGAAUAUAAUUGGACUUAGGUUUUGCAGAGCUUGAGCAUGGCCUUUUUGUCCUCCCACCUUCUGGUUCUUGAAGACAUUGCCGGUGACCUGGCCCCAGACUAACACGAGGCGGGCGUAUAUCGUCAGCCUGCCCGGCGUCCCCUUGCCUCAGCACACACAGAGACCUCUUGCAAGAUGCUUCUCUGCCGCCAUAGGCUGGAGAUUCCCCGGGAACUUUCCCUUCCUUCCUAGCUGAGGAAGAUCCCUCACUUCCGCUCGCCGCGCCACCGGUCCCACCUCCCCGCCCCCCGCUGGGUCCUAGCGCCGGCCCCUCUUUGGCAGAGUCCGGGCUCCGUCGGUGCGAGGAGCCGACGCCGACGCCACGGAGUCAGCACAAGUCUCAUCAGUGGUUCUGCCGACCCUUGGUCCAACUCCUUUCUUCA
rnacentral:sRNA from 1 species